AUUGAACGCUGGCGGCAUGCUUUACAUAUGCAAGUCGAACGGCAGCGCGGGCUUCGGCCUGGCGGCGAGUGGCGAACGGGUGAGUAAUGCAUCGGAACGUGCCCAGUAGUGGGGGAUAGCCCGGCGAAAGCCGGAUUAAUACCGCAUACGACCUGAGGGUGAAAGCGGGGGACCGAAAGGCCUCGCGCUAUUGGAGCGGCCGAUGUCGGAUUAGCUAGUUGGUGGGGUAAAGGCUUACCAAGGCGACGAUCCGUAGCUGGUCUGAGAGGACGACCAGCCACACUGGGACUGAGACACGGCCCAGACUCCUACGGGAGGCAGCAGUGGGGAAUUUUGGACAAUGGGGGCAACCCUGAUCCAGCCAUGCCGCGUGCGGGAAGAAGGCCUUCGGGUUGUAAACCGCUUUUGUUCGGGAAGAAAUCCUCUGGGCUAAUACCUCGGGGGGAUGACGGUACCGGAAGAAUAAGCACCGGCUAACUACGUG
rnacentral:rRNA from 1 species